UAGGUAGGUUAUUGCUGUUUGCGAGUAUCCAGGAGAGAGCAAAACAAGGCAUUCUUUACCAACAUGGCGGGAUAAAUGAUGCUGAUGAUGAUCAAGCUCUGAUGGACGCUACGGACAUCCAACCAUCUUUGAAGCGCACUCCACGGCUAGGGUUCGGAAUUCUGGGACGACGGCGGCCGCCACGCACAACUCAGCGGUAACCCUCAAUCGUUCUCUUCCUUUCGUCUACGGAGUUUGGACCCUCAGAAUAUUGCGUGUUUUCGUCGUAUUGAUACUACAUCUCAUCUGAUUGAUCUUGCUGCGUAUUUCAUCGAAUUAUCUGGUCGUCUUCGAGCCCGUCCGAGAUCUUCGAGAAGCCUGUCAAGAAGUUGAAGACGCCCCAAAGCGACCGCAAGAUCUGCGUCAAGCAAAUCGAACUGUUGACGUUACUGAAAUGUGGUGAGCUCGGAAGCAGGAAUUGGAGUUGGAAGCUAAGCUUGAGGAUAGAUCCAAGAAACACAGACGCAAAAGUAGGGGCGGGAAGCAUCACACAAAUUCACCACAUAUGGGUUUCUAGCUCAAGGCACAAGCAGGAGAACAAGAAAACUGCCAUCCCAUGGCCAUCAAGCAAACAAGAUCCGGAAGACUGCUGCACGCAUGAAGAUGAUGGUCUUAGAGACACACAAGUCGAAGAGUUUCUUCACUCGAGGUUCAAGAAUGGGAUGAAGCUGGUCCAUAUCUUUCACAGACAUGUUCUGAUCAAGAUGGUGACUCGCCAAGUCAUGAUGUGCGGGUGAAGGAAGAAUGGGAAAACCAUGUUAUUGGCCCUGAGAUUCUGAUGAAUUCUGAUAGUGAGUCAAUAACAUGGUUUCUCUUCCCAAGAUGGUUCAAGAAUGGGAUGAAGCUGGUCCAUAUCUUUCACAGACAUGUUCUGAUCAAAGAUGGUGACUCGCCAAGUCAUGAUGUGCGGGUGAAGGAAGAAUGGGAAAACCAUGUUAUUGGCCCUGAGAUUCUGAUGAAUUCUGAUAGUGAGUCAAUAACAUGGUUUCUCUUCCCAAGAUGGUGAGAAACCAACCUACUUGUAAUGAUUCUGAUGCAGAAACUAGGUUGUGCCGGACAAGGAGUUCAAGAAAGUGUCAUUCCAAGAAAAGGAGAUCGAAGGAAGAGAAACUAGGAAAAAGACAAAAGGACAGAAAAGAGAUCCUAAAAGCUGAAGAACACAGGAUUGAUGUAUAAAGGUGAGAUAUAACUUACUCAAACGUUCUUGUAGAAUUAAAAAAAAAAGUAAUGAUUUCACGCAUUUGAUGGAUCAUCCAAGUUACAUCAGACCUUCUCAUGUGGUGCAUCAGUGAAUAAUGAGAAAUCAAUAAUCAAUA